UCGGGAAUUUUGGGCAAUGGGCGAAAGCCUGACCCAGCAACGCCGCGUGAAGGAUGAAGUCUCUCGGGAUGUAAACUUCGUAAGAAUAGGAAGAAUAAAUGACGGUACUAUUUGUAAGGUCCGGCUAACUACGUGCCAGCAGCCGCGGUAAUACGUAGGGACCAAGCGUUGUUCGGAUUUACUGGGCGUAAAGGGCGCGUAGGCGGCGUGGUAAGUCACUUGUGAAAUCUCCGAGCUUAACUCGGAACGGUCAAGUGAUACUGCUGUGCUAGAGUACAGAAGGGGCAAUCGGAAUUCUUGGUGUAGCGGUGAAAUGCGUAGAUAUCAAGAGGAACACCUGAGGUGAAGACGGGUUGCUAGGCUGAUACUGACGCUGAGGCGCGAAAGCUAGGGUAG
rnacentral:rRNA from 1 species